rnacentral:misc_RNA from 1 species
UGUGGGAGCGAGCCUGCUCGCGAUAACCUCAACGCGGUAUGCCUGAAUCACCGCGUUAUGGCUAUCGCGAGCAGGCUCGCUCCCACA